GCGGAGGAAAAGAAACCAACAGGGAUUGCCUCAGUAACGGCGAGUGAAGCGGCAACAGCUCAAAUUUGAAAUCUGGUCCCCUCUGGGGGCCCGAGUUGUAAUUUGAAGAGGAUGCUUUUGGCGAGGCGCCGUCCGAGUUCCCUGGAACGGGACGCCGCAGAGGGUGAGAGCCCCGUACGGUCGGACGCCGAGCCUCUGUAAAGCUCCUUCGACGAGUCGAGUAGUUUGGGAAUGCUGCUCAAAAUGGGAGGUAAACCCCUUCUAAAGCUAAAUACCGGCCAGAGACCGAUAGCGCACAAGUAGAGUGAUCGAAAGAUGAAAAGCACUUUGAAAAGAGAGUUAAAAAGCACGUGAAAUUGUUAAAAGGGAAGCGCUUGCGACCAGACUUGCGCUCCGUCGGAUCAACCGUCGCUUGCGGCGGCGCACUCCGGCGGGCUCAGGCCAGCAUCAGUUCGCUCGGGGGGAGAAAGGCGGCGGGAACUGUAGCUCCUCGGAGCUGUUAUAGCCGCGCCGUGUAAUACCCCUCGGGUGGACUGAGGAC
rnacentral:rRNA from 1 species